GCCGGGCAUGGUGGCUCAUGCCUGUAAUCCUAGCACUUUGGGAGGCUGAGGCGGGUGGAUUAUCUGAGGUCAGGAUUAUCAGAUUAUCUGAGCCUGGCCAACAUGGCGAAACCCCGUCUCUA
rfam:Pan troglodytes isolate Yerkes chimp pedigree #C0471 (Clint) chromosome 5, whole genome shotgun sequence.